AGAGUUUGAUCCUGGCUCAGAAUCAACGCUGGCGGCGUGCCUAACACAUGCAAGUCGAACGCGAGAGGGGCUUCGGCCCUGAUUGAGUGGCAAACGGGUGAGUAACGCGUGGGUGACCUACCUUCGAGUGGGGGAUAACGUUUCGAAAGGAACGCUAAUACCGCAUGACAUCCUGUCUUUGGACAGAUGGAGAUCAAAGCCGGGGAUCGCAAGACCUGGCGCUUGAAGAGGGGCCCGCGUCCCAUUAGCUAGUUGGCGGUGUAAUGGACCACCAAGGCGACGAUGGGUAGCUGGUCUGAGAGGAUGGUCAGCCACACUGGGACUGAGAUACGGCCCAGACUCCUACGGGAGGCAGCAGUCGAGAGGCUUUGGCAAUGGGGGAAACCCUGACCAAGCGACGCCGCGUGGAGGAUGAAGGCCCUUGGGUUGUAAACUCCUUUUGUCGGGGAAGAAAUGCGAUCAGGUGAACAAUCUGGUCGUUUGACGGUACCCGGCGAAUAAGCUCCGGCUAACUCCGUGCCAGCAGCCGCGGUAACACGGGGGGAGCAAGCGUUGUUCGGAAUCACUGGGCGUAAAGGGCGUGUAGGCGGUUCAGUAAGUGGAAUGUGAAAUGCCCCGGCUUACCCGGGGACCUGCAUCCCAAACUGCUGGACUUGAGUACGGGAGAGGAUGAGGGAAUUCCUGGUGUAGCGGUGAAAUGCGUAGAUAUCAGGAGGAACACCGGUGGCGAAGGCGCUCAUCUGGCCCGAUACUGACGCUGAGGCGCGAAAGCUAGGGGAGCGAACGGGAUUAGAUACCCCGGUAGUCCUAGCCGUAAACGGUGAGCACU
rnacentral:rRNA from 1 species